GUCUAGGUUUAGCACGUGCGAGCCACACGAUUCAUCCCUGAAUUGGAUUUGGGGAUAGCAUUCUUCAAAUUAGGGCUUCCAUUUCAUUACACGAGAGAGUCUUCUGUCUCUCUACAAACCCCCAAACCCCAACAAACACAAGCUAAACCUUCUCAAUCCCUCUCUUUCGCGACCCAGAAAUGGCCGCCACAGCCUCCUCCUCAUAAACCCAUUCACCUUGUUCCUCCUCUUCUUUCGCAGAUUCGUUCUCUUUGGGUUUUGUUUUUGUCCAAAACCAGAUCGUCACCAAAACCAGAUCGUCUAAAUACAAGACCAGAUCGUCUUCUUCUUCCUCCACACCUCUCCUUCGAUCACCAUGUGGCUCUCUUUCUUUCGCCCGCUCGACCGAUUUUCCCUCCAAAACUUCAAAUAUGUAGUGAAUGAACUCCGGGAAAUUAAAGUUGUGGAUGAGCACAACAAGGAAUCAGUGGUAGAUCUGUUGCAGUCUGUAGUGGAGAUAGUUACCUAUGGGGACAAACAAGACCCGAUGAUUUUUGAAUAUUUUAUGGAAUGUCAAGUUUUAGCUGAGUUUCUUCGUGUACUUAAAAUUAGUAGGGAUUCGAGAAUUGAAAUACCAUUGCUUCAAAGAUUCGAGCAUAAUGAUUCAAAAUAUGGAUAGUGAGCAUGCAAUUUACUAUUGUUUUAGCAAUGAUUAUAUCAACAACAUCAUAGAACAUCAGUACCAAUUCAAUCGAGGGGAUCUGGCCCAGUAUUAUGUAUCCUUUCUAAGGUUAUUUGUGUGCUCUUUUAAAUAAUUUCUGUUUGGAAACUUGGGCCUUCUUUUUGUUCAUUUGUGAUAAAAGAAUCAAAAAACACUUGUGAAAAAUGUGGUCUUACUUUCAAGAAAGCUGCUUAUUUGAAACAGCAUAUGCUAAGCCAUUCUACCGAGCUUUGGGCAGGAACCAAUAUUUUUGAAAACAAAAAUUACAUAAUUUUUGGUGUGAAGCAUUGGAUCCCACAGAAAGAACUCCAAAAUGCAGAUGGUUUUGACUUGAAUGGACCAGUAUCAGGUUGGGUGACCUCCUAAGAAGCUCCUUCAAGUGGACCUUGAUCACGCUACAUUCAGUUUGAGGUUUGAUGCGCGUAUACUAUAUUUGGAUUGAUUAGGAUUUCUGUUAAUUGCUUGCUGAGUCUCGAUGAUGGCGUCAUGGUCGGUGGUGUGCUUGCAAACAUUGAUUCGGUUUCUAGGGAGAUGGUGGUGGCUGAGGCAGAGGCUUUGAAACCAGGUCGAUUUGGGAACGGAAAGGGUUGGAAGGUAGUAGUUCGAUGGAAUCAUAAUGUUCAUUCCAUUCUUGACUCGCCAAAGCUUGAAUCACAUUCCCAAAUAGACCAAUUAUUGAGGAUAAGUUCGGUUUGCUUCAGACAUGAAGGCUUUGAGUGAUGAUUUUGAAAGAUUUAUAUCGUUUAAUCCAUGACAUAUAUACCCUAAGCAAGGAGCAUGAGAAGAUGAUACAACUCACCAUGGUUUUCAGAGCACAUUUUUUUCCAUAUAUAUUAUUUUGUUUGGAGUUCUUGUUGCACAAUGAAUGUUAAUUCUGCCAAAGUGAAAUGCAUCCCAAUAUAUAUACGCGCUGUUUAAGUUUCCAUAUAUAUAUGCGUUGUUUAAGUUGUUUGUCCAAAAAACUACGAAGCAAUUAUCAGCCAAAAAAUGGAAAAUUGAGUUGUACGUAGAUGCAAACCGAACAAUGACUUCAAAGUACAAUCAGUUCACCAUUCAAGCAGUUGAACCAAUGGAAGAUUAGGAAGAAGUUACCUUUUUUUUUUUUUUUUACAGUAAUUUUAUUUUAUUUAGUGUUGAGACUUUUCUUGCUGCUGAGCUUGUUUUUCUUUCUCUUGACUUGUUAUUUAUGGAUUUACAUGGAGUAGUGUAUGCAAGUAUUUCAUAUACCCAAUUUUCUAAAAGUAAAUAAUAAGUAUUAUUUUAUUAUGAUUUA